AUCUGAUAGGAUGCAUGGAGUGAAAGACCCCCGGAGCAGGGAGACCCUCACUCAAGUCUCAGGAUGACGCAAUCCCCCAAGAACUCACGUGAGACC
rnacentral:pre_miRNA from 14 species